UGUUUGCACUUGGAUCGAGCCUGCUACGUUUACGGGACUUACGAGUUCCUGCAUAUAGUCUGGCGUGUGAUGCAAGCCACGCUGUGCAAGUAGAUAUUUCGAGUUUUGCGUUUAGAGUCUUGCCGUUAAGCAUUACUCCACGAGGCUGCGUCUCGAUUCGAAACGAAGUUCUUCUACGGUCUCGCCGGUUUCAUACGUAGAUCACCUCAGAUGUCUUCAACUUUGUUAGAUACACAACGGAUAUAGUAGCGUGAAACAGUGCGGUGGCCUGCAAUCAAGUGGAGCUGCUCUAUCCGGAUCUGUAGUGAAAAUCAGCAGAAAUGUCAAAAGCUAUAAUCUACCAUAAGAUCCCUGUUGACCUUCUCAUCAUCAUCGUAUUAUUCAGUCACUCAAUAGUAUCCAAGUAUGUGCUACCUGCGUCUGUAGCAGAAACCGAUUCUGCGGCGAAUUCUCGUGUUGGACCUGCUGCCGAUGCAGAUUUAGGUAUGAGGAGAACUGACGCUAUAUUACCCGUUAUGCACACCGACGGCUCUACUUCAUCAGAGGGAACAGUCGCCGGAGUCGUUCAACGUUUGCGGACGCAUAUGGACAAGACACAGCUGACCCAAAUCGGCGCUCAAGUCGAAGCCACAAUCAAGCAGGGCGCUGAAGAAGCUAACCAAAGAAUUCGAGAAGGCUUCCGGGGCAUCAAAGAAAAAAUUACUGAAGUACUCAACUCGUCGAGUCGAUAAUAAGGAAUAUAAAAAUAAUACAUUUUGCUUAUAAAUGCAGUUUUCGCAAUUGAAAUCAAUGAAGCUUUUAAAUUUUCGUUGGUGUUAUCAUGGCUGCUUUGAAGACAAUUAAAAUCAUUUGUCUUCUCCACGCAGCUCCGUUCCUUUGAACUAUUAAGCUCUAGUAAAAGCCAGUUGCGUCAUAUCCGUCAAUCAUGUUCACGAAAGUAGCCCUACUGCUAGAUUAUCAAUUGUUUUUUUCGGCAUCAAAUACGUUAAGUGUAUGAGUCCGUCAAAUAAACACUGUAAUGUUUUGCCUUGGAGACUAAUUUAUUUCAACACUACCAGGACAAACACUCUCCGGUUAGGAACUAAAGUUAAACACGAAUAAGUUGAAAAACAACCGUGUUAGAUAGAGAGGAACCUGUUUUUGAACAAGAGUACUUAGUAAUUAAUAUAAAUAAAACGUCAACGAUGGAGGUUCGCUGUUUUCUACACAGGGACUUGAAUGUUUUCGCUGAAUUUUAGCGGCUUAUGUUAAACAGUUUCUGAUAUAAGCUAUUCAAAAGCGUUCCGAAGUAUUUGUCAACUAUUAAUAAUACAGUAUACAAUAAAAUAAUACAAAUAACUACUAACAAUAUUGGUAGCAAACAAUUUGGCUCGUCGUUUUCGGUUUUGGUGCGUCGAGUGGGUCCUUCCGCCAGGAUGAAAUUUUUCCCCUGUCUAAUGCUGCGCAUAUUAAUUAAUUCGACCACUCUGAAAAUGGUUCAAUAUAAAAACGGGAUAAUUUCCAAGCCAU